rnacentral:rRNA from 1 species
UACGAAGGGGGCUAGCGUUGUUCGGAUUUACUGGGCGUAAAGCGCACGUAGGCGGUUUGUUAAGUCAGAGGUGAAAUCCCGGAGCUCAACUCCGGAACUGCCUUUGAUACUGGCAAGCUAGAGUCCGGAAGAGGUAAGUGGAACUCCUAGUGUAGGAGUGAAAUCCGUAGAUAUUAGAAGGAACACCGAUGGCGUAGGCAGUCUACUGGCUCAUUGCUGACACUAAGGCACGAAAGCGUGGGGAGCGAACGGG